rnacentral:other from 1 species
GACGAUCUGCGCUUCCCGACAGGAACAACUUAUCCCCGGGGCCUUAUUGAUCCUUAGGGAGCUGUCCCUGGCCGGGCCCGUGGGCUCGGACAUACGGCGCCCACCUACUUUGUAGGCACCCGGGAUCAACCGUUCCAUCGGCUGUCGUGGAUCGUCA